rnacentral:snRNA from 1 species
AGAUGUGAGAGCAAUCUGGCUGAGACAUCUGUCCAUCCUUUCUUAUCCGCAGUGAUUCUAACUGAUCUGACUGCUAAAGACAAUGUUCCCCUUUUUUCCUCACUGCUCUGUGUGUGCCCGUCCACCUGAAGCUGAAUGUAUGGGAACCCUGGCAAACGAACGGGAAGGGAAUCCAUGGCCUUGAUGUUGUGUAAACCAAAAGAAAGGGUCUCAUAAUGUAAAGAUACAUUUUAAAAAUGUGACAUACAUAUGCAAUGGAGUAUCAUU